AUCUACCAUCAUGAUACAUAGACCAAGUUUCCUAAACAGUUAACUCAUACUUCCUUUCUUACACGCGGUUCUAAAAAGGCAACUUGCGUGAAACAGACUCUCGGCUAGAAGAGUGACGUCCUCCUUGCCCGAAGAUUAUUCCCCUGGAGAAGAUGGCCCAGCACCGCCUAGGGAUUUUGCUCCUUUGCCUGCAAACCUGUCUGGAAGUAUCUGGAAGCAACACAGACAUCAUCACAGUGAAUGGGAUUCUGGGAGAGUCGGUUACUUUCCCCUUAAAUAUCCAAGGAUCACAGCAAGUUAACAGCAUUGCUUGGACUUCCAAAUCGUCAGUUGCUUCUAUAAUACCAGGAAAUUCCGGAACACCACCCAUAAUUACUGUGACCCACCAAGAUUAUUAUGAACGAAUAAAUGUCUCAGGUCAGAACUAUAACCUGGAGAUCAGGAAUCUGAGGAUGGAAGAUGCAGGGACCUACAAAGCCGACAUAAGUUUAAAGACCUCUGAAAAGAAGAUCACCACCACCACCAAGCACUUCAAGCUUCAAGUCUAUCGUCGGCUUGGGAAGCCAAAAAUUACUCAGAGUUUAAUGACAUCGAUGAACAACACCUGUAAUGUCACACUGACAUGCUCUGUGGAAAAAGAAGAAAAAAAUGUGACAUAUACUUGGAGUCCCCUGGGGGAAGAGGGUAAUGUCCUUCAAAUCUUCAGGACCCCUGUCAACCAAGAGCUGACUUACACGUGUACAGUCUGGAACCCUGUCAGCAAUAAUUCUGACUCCAUCUCUGCCCGGCAGCUCUGUACAGAUGUUGCAAUGGGCCUCCAUACUCGCCGCACUGGGCUGCUGAGUGGGCUGGCUGUGCUCUCUCUGUUUAUGCUCAUUCUACCUGCAGUGCUUCUGUUCCUUUUCUGCAAAAGAAGACAAGGUUCCUACUCCAAGACCUUCAGUAAGAACCCUGAUGCUGUCUCAAAGAACACAAUAUACACAUAUAUUACAGCUUCAAGAAACACCCAGCAAGCAGAGUCCAGAAUCUACGAUGAAAUCCCCCAGUCCAAGGUGUUCCCUGCCAAGGAGGAGCCAGUGAACUCAAUUUAUUCCGUAGUGCAGUGCUCUGAUAAGCUGACCUUCACAGUACACAACCUCCACAGCUGAUUGCAGUGGUCUAGUGGCAUUCACAAUUCCCUGUGCCUCAGUGUCCUUCCCUGGAAUAUGCAAAGAGGGAAGGAGAAAAUCAGCACACAGGACAGCAAACCUCCUGGGACUUCAAGUUAUGAAAUUGUAAUCUAGGCUCCCAGCCAACAUUCUCCCUGUGGAAACUGAGCUACAACCACAGACGUUGGCAGAUGCCCCAGACCCAGAUUUUCUCUGCCCAGUGCUUACCUGGAGAUUGUAAAUCACCACAUCACAAAAUGUAGGCAAAGCAGGAAACUCUCUGCCACUAGGCAUAGUUUGUGCCUAGAUAGACAAAUGGACACGUGCCCUUUCUGAAAUGGCUCCCUUCUGGAUGAAUGACAAGGCAAGUCCCCAGGCACAGUGCUUCUCAACCUUCUUCACAUCAUAGGACAUGGAUAAAAUAAUAUUUUUAUGGCACAAUGUGGUAAACAAUCAAGAUUGCUCACGUCUGAGGUUGCAUACGGCUAGAGGCUUCUCAUGACUAGAGGUGAUGACCCUUACCAGCAACCCCAUAUAUGGAGAAGAUCAAUAUUUUGCACACCUGUAAUAUGCCAUGGCACACCAUCUAGGAUGCUCGGCUUACACUCAAUACAUGUGAGGAGCCCUGGCACACAACCUCACCAGUCCACACAGCACCUUGGGCAAAUUAGACAAAGGCACCCUUUUCCUCGUGCAGAUGCAGCCCCUCACCCAAUCACAUGACUUGAAGAGUAGAGUGUAGGCUGCAUUUCAGCCUCUACUUGCCCCUUUGCAUGGGAACCUUUGUGCAGGGUACCACUGGCUGGACUAGCCCAACCACACAUGACAGUGUCACCUGGGAAGCCAUCAGAGUUGUGUCUCUCAGCUGUGUAGACACACUCUCCAAACGCACAGUUGCAAAAUGCUCUUUCUGUAAGGACUAGACUGCUGGGGCAUUUUUAUUCAAGCUCUACUUCAGAAGCCUCGUACGAUUUUCCUCCUGGCCAACAUUUCCUUCAUAUCACUCUGUGAUGGUUAAUUUUAUGUGUCAACUUGACUGGGCCAUGAGGUGCACAGAUAUUUGGUUAAACAUUAUUCAGGGUGUAUCUGUGAAGGUGUUUCUGGAAGAGAUUAACAUCUGAACUAGUAGACUGAGUAAAGCAGAUUAAUCCCCCACUCCAAAGGGAGUGGCCAUCACUAAAUCCAUUGAAAGUCUGGGUAGAAAUAAAGGCAGAGUAAGGGAGAAUUCACUCUCUCUCUCUGUCUGACUGUCUUUGAGCUGGAACAUAGGUCUUCUCCUACCUUAGGACUCGGACGUGGACUGAAACUUACAGCAUCAGCUCUCCUGGUUUUCAGGCCUUUUGGACUAGACUGAAACUAUACCAUCACCUCUCCAGCUUGCCGACUACAAGAUCUUGGGAUUUCUCAGUCUCCAUAACCACGUGAACCAAUUCCUUAUAUUAUAUAUAUUUGCUAUUGGUCCUGUUUCUCUGCAGAACCAGACUAAUACAGAUUCCAAGCAGCCUCAGCAAGAAGACGAAGCCAUACACAGCACCUCCAUUCUCCAAAAGGAAUUAACCAGUUAUAUUUCCAGCACUUUAGGGGAACUGAGUGUAACCCAACCAUCAAAACAAGAGACCUUGAAGGAAGCAGAGGCACUCUCAGAGGGAACUUGGGAGAUGAUGGUGUAGAUGAUAAAAGUGGCUUCACCCCAGUUCCUUAGGCUUAACCCAGAGAGUCGCGCAGUUCAAGUGAGCUUAGAUGCCCCUCCCCGUCCCCCUGCCAGCACUGAGGAGGAAUCAUGCACAGCUGAGCAGAAGAUUUAAGCGAGCAUUUGAAGAACUGUUUCCCUGAUAGUUUAGCAAAUGUAACCAGCUAAAUCCUAAAUCCAUGAAUAAUCACAGACUGGACAGCAGAAAUAAACUCUAUUUAAGUAGAAUGAAGGUGCUAGUCUCAGAACCAUCUAUUCCCGACUACCAUUAGCACUUUUUUGGCCGCUGCAAGGUCCCCAAAGUAUAAGAUGAGCAUCAUGUCUGCUCUAGGCUAGCUGAGGAACCAAUUCCAGCACAGACACUACAUUUAAAUCCUGAACUAUAUGCUGCAAGGAGUGGCAUGAGCUAGUGCAGUCAGAAAAGACCUUACGGAGAAGGCAGGGCUGAAGCUAGGCCUUGAAGGAUGGAUGAGAUUUGACAGAGAAUGAAAAAGGAGACAGAGGGCAUCCAAGUGAGUAAAGCAUGAAAAAAAGCAGAAGCCUGGAUCUGUGUGGUGUAUUUGGGGCAGCUACCCAUACACCAUGCAUGUUCAUAGUCCCUUCCCAAUGUGUGACACAGUGCCUCAGCUGAGCGCCCUCUCUCCCUGUCCAUUUACACAUCUUUCAACGUCCAGCUCAGAUGUCACCUCCUCUGUGAAGCUUUCCCUAGUAUCACUAGUCAAAUUAAUUAUGGUUCUUUUUGUACUCCUUUUUUUUUCUUUGGUAUUUCUAUCCCUAUAAGUCAUUUCAUUCUGCCUUCCAGAGUAGAUAAUUAUUUGUUUCCCUCUACACUGUACAUUACUUAGGGGCAAGAUCCAUGACUUCACGAUCACGAAGAGGUAGUCAUGAGAGGAUGCACCUCUGUAUCCACCACCAGCCAACACAAUGCCUUGUAACCUGCUUAUGAGCAAUAAACACUGUUGAAUAGACUAGAAUUGAAAGGGACCAGCCAGCUCGAACAGAAGGUACAUGUUGGAAGUAUUGCUAGAUAGAAGCCAAUAAGCAUAGUGGAAUCAAAUUAUGGCAAUCAUCCAGGAUGCAGACGUCAGAGGCUAUUCCCAGCGUAAGGGCAUUUUGGAGGGAGAAGACUUUCAGAAUUAGACAGACCAACUAAGACAUCACCUGAAGCAAUGAGCCAGGUGUGAGGAGGUUGAAAGGCAGUCACCCCAGGGAAGGACAUGAAGGAAGAAAUAAAGAGCCUUUGUCAUAAGAGAUGGAGAAGUUCCACAGUGACACUAAACACACUGGAUUUCUCCUAAUAUAAAAGCGCUCCUCACCUUUACGUGGGUAGAGGGAUCACUCCUGAACAUCCUCGUUCUCUAACCCGUCCCUGCCUUUCCCUGAUGUGCUCACUCAGUGAAAUCCUAGUGUCCUAAUACCCCAGUAGAAAGUUGAGAGGCAGAGGAGAAGGAAAAAGAAAGAAAGAAAAGAAUCCGAGGGAAGAGUUCUCCAGGUCUUCCAGGAGAACAAACCUGGGAUGGAACAAGCGCACAGGAAUUCUUAAAGUGGCUUUGGGACUCAGGACCACUGUGCCCUUGUCUCUCACUCUUUCUUCUCUAUGAAUCUUCUGAUUUGUGAAGAUGUAACCUACUCACCCCAUUCCCUAGGGCUCAGCUCUUAGAUUCCCCUUCAGUAAAAUGAGAGUGAUCCUAUUUUCCCCUUCACAGCUUUCCAGACAAACUACAUUGUGACCAACAGCUCUAUAAAAUCUAAGUAUUCUUUCAAUGGAAUAGGAGCUUGAAUCAGACCAAGAUGUGCCAGUUUUUUAAAAUACACAUUGAAACUGAAAUCUUAGGGGGCAGGGCUCUCUGAUAAGCAAGGGCAGUCCCUCUGCAUGCAAGUCAGUGUGGACUCCACCAGGGAACUGAGAAAAUGAGAAAUGUUGCAGCUAAUGUCUCUCAGGAAAAGAAAGUGAAGCUGAUUUCAAAUGUGAUUCUUAAAAAGCUACAGAACACUCUGAACUACAGCCCACAAGAGAAGAGCUUGACUGGGCCAUCUCCGGAAACUGGGCAUAGGGAGGAAGGAGGCGGACUGGUCCAGGCUGGGUCAACAGACAGCGCUUCUUAGGCUGCAUCUGGAAAAAAGAAACAGCCUGGCUGUCUCACCUCCCAGAUUCAGUACUUUUCUGCUGUUUGACUUUUCCCUAAAUUUCUCUUAAUUUGUGCAAUUUUCUCAAGUAUAAUUAGUGACAGUCUCUGCUGGCUGUAAAAUGAAGCUCGAAGAAGGAGACAAUAGAAGAAGUGUAAUGAGUGGUCGCAAAUGCGGGCUCUGAUGCUAGAAUGCCUGGAUCUGAAUCCUGGUUUCUUAGUCAUAUGACCUUGAGCAAGUUAUUUUAACCUCUCUGUGCCUCAGUUUGCCCAUCUGUAAAUAGGGGAGAAUGAUAGUUCCGACCUUGUAGGGCUGAUGUGAGGAUUAAAUGCCUACACAUAGAAAAGCCCUGGGUCAUUGUAUUCACUGUUAUAGGCCUGAAAUCUUCAUAAGAUGCUAACAAUCUUACGAAAUAAGGUUCUUGCAGUAGAAAUGUAUCUGAUAUUAUGCUAAAUUAACAUUGGAUAUCAAACUUUUACCUUUCAAUCCUCCUAACUCAAUGUCUGUUCCUUCUAUGAUUUCGCUUACCACACUAUACUCUAAUUACCUGCUCUAUCUGUCCCUCCAGCUAGGCUGAGAGAACAGGGGCUAUGUCUGAAUAAUAAUAAUGGAAAUAGAGAGCUCCUUGAGGCCAGGGAGGCUGUAACAAUUACUGAGGGCCAACUUUGUAGACCGACUGCUAUGCUAGAUGCUUUGUACAUUAUUGUUGAUACUCACAGCAACCCUGUAAAGCAGAAAUUAAUUCUUCUAGGUUACAUUAAGGCUGAGGGAAUAAAUACCUUAGCAAAGUCCGGAAACUUGGGAAGAAAGGCUUUGAACUCAAGACUCCUUGUCAUCAAGAGCCAUCCACUGGCACUCUACCAUGCUGCCUCUGUUUACCUGCUGUGGAUUCCCAACACCUAGAAGUUUGCUGAGGUAUAGCACACACAUGGCACUUUGUUUGACACAUAAUAGGUGGACCACAAAUAUUUGUUCAGUGAAUAUGUACUUAUAGUUAUAAUUAAAGACACUAAGAGCAACUCCAA